GACGAACGCUGGCGGCGUGCCUAAUACAUGCAAGUAGAACGCUGAAGAGAGGAGCUUGCUCUUCUUGGAUGAGUUGCGAACGGGUGAGUAACGCGUAGGUAACCUGCCUUGUAGCGGGGGAUAACUAUUGGAAACGAUAGCUAAUACCGCAUAACAAUGGAUGACACAUAUCAUUUAUUUGAAAGGGGCAAUUGCUCCACUACAAGAUGGACCUGCGUUGUAUUAGCUAGUAGGUGAGGUAAUGGCUCACCUAGGCGACGAUACAUAGCCGACCUGAGAGGGUGAUCGGCCACACUGGGACUGAGACACGGCCCAGACUCCUACGGGAGGCAGCAGUAGGGAAUCUUCGGCAAUGGGGGCAACCCUGACCGAGCAACGCCGCGGGAGUGAAGAAGGUUUUCGGAUCGUAAAGCUCUGUUGUAAGUCAAGAACGGGUGUGAGAGUGGAAAGUUCACACUGUGACGGUAGCUUACCAGAAAGGGACGGCUAACUACGUG
rnacentral:rRNA from 1 species